rnacentral:sRNA from 1 species
CUUGGUCAUUUAGAGGAAGUAAAAGUCGUAACAAGGUUUCCGUAGGUGAACCUGCGGAAGGAUCAUUCAUUGAGCAUGUAGGCCUUGUUCAUUCAGGCUUUACACAAAGCUUUUUUUUUUUUUCUUGACUCCAAGUGAGGUUUAGAUGAGCUCACUGUGAUGCUGGCUUUAGCACCCUUUGUGAUUUGCUUUCGGGUGUCUUUUAUCUAUCCAGCCUUAAUUGGUCAUGUAUUGUGGUCAUGUUUUGAAAGCAAUCCACUCUUGGAGGGGAUGGGAUCCCUAUCCUUCUUUUUGAGUUUCCAUGAGCUUGGUUAAAAAGAGCUUUCAUUUUACAACUUUCAGCAAUGGAUCUCUUGGUUCUCGCAUCGAUGAAGAACGCAGUGAAAUGCGAUAACUGGUGUGAAUUGCAUCCAUGUAACUCUAAUUUACGAAUAACACCAAGUGAAUCAUCGAGUCUUUGAACGCAAUUGCGCCCUCUCGGUCGCUUCCAAUUGGGGGUUGACUCAUAGGGGGUACAUCUGUUCGAGGGUCAUUUGGAUCUCUCAAAGGGGUUUGUUGCACCCUUUGGAUUUUGGGUCUUGCCGUGAAAUCUAUCUUGGCUCACCUUGAAAGCAUUAGCAAGCUUCCCAAGUCUUUUGAUGUUGAGAGGGUGUUCUAAAUUGGUCUCAAGCCCAGAACAUCAUAAAAGUGACUUGUAUGAGUGGUCCUGAAGCUGGCUUCCAAUCAUCCUUAUAGGAUGUGUGGGUGUAUUGCAUUGAGCUGCAUUGAGCUCUUUCAGUGCAUAUCAAUAAGCGGAGGA